rnacentral:lncRNA from 13 species
UUCUUGAACUUCGCACAAGAAAGAAUUCGAGGAUGUGAGAUACCUGAAGGCAGGGGCUGUCUUUCUCGCCUUCACUUCUGUGACUAGAAAACCACAUUGAGGUUUUAAUUUGAGUUAUGUCCUCUUUCAGCAGCCUGAAUGAACGGGCCUGCUCGUGCUUUCGUUUGUCUUUAGAGAACUGAAAUAGACAGGACAAAUAACUGGAUCAAGGUCACACUGCAGCUGUGAUAAGGUGAGGCUGUAAUUUAGAAUCAUUGAUGACUUCUGAAUCCAGCCAAUAUUUAUUGAGCAUUUAUUAGGCACCAGACUCUGUUCCAGGUGUGGCGAUAGUAAUGUGAAUAAAUCAUCAAAAUCUUUGCUGUGAAUAUUAUGA